rnacentral:rRNA from 1 species
CCUACGGGAGGCAGCAGUGGGGGAUAUUGCACAAUGGGGGGAACCCUGAUGCAGCGACGCCGCGUGGGUGAAGGAGUGCUUCGGCAUGUAAAGCCCUAUCGGCAGGGAAGAAGCAAGACGGUACCUGACUAAGAAGCCCCGGCUAACUACGUGCCAGCAGCCGCGGUAAUACGUAGGGGGCGAGCGUUAUCCGGAUUCACUGGGUGUAAAGGGAGCGUAGACGGCCAUGCAAGCCAGGGGUGAAAGCCCGGGGCCCAACCCCGGGACUGCCCUUGGAACUGCAUGGCUGGAGUGCGGGAGGGGCAGGCGGAAUGACUGGUGUAGCGGUGGAAUGCGUAGAUAUCAGGAGGAACACCGGCGGCGAAGGCGGCCUGCUGGACCGCGACUGACGUUGAGGCUCGAAAGCGUGGGGAGCGAACAGGAUUAGAUACCCUUGUAGUC